GAUGAAGAACGUAGUGAAAUGCGAUACGUAGUGUGAAUUGCAGAAUUCAGUGAAUCAUCGAAUCUUUGAACGCACAUUGCACCUCUCGGUAUUCCGGGAGGUAUGCCUGUUCGAGCGUCAUUUGUACCCUCAAGCUCUGCUUGGUGUUGGGUGUUUGUUCCGCCUCUGUGUGUGAACUCGCCUCAAAACAAUUGGCAGCCGGCGUACUUGUUUCGGAGCGCAGCACAUUUUGCGAUCCAGAUCAACGUACAGCGGCAUCCAAGAAGCCUUAUUUAACGCUCUUGACCUCGGAUCAGGUAGGGAUACCCGCUGAACUUAAGCAUAUUCAAUAAGCGGAGGA
rnacentral:misc_RNA from 1 species